rnacentral:lncRNA from 1 species
CGACCCCAGCCAGUGGGAAAAAAUAACUUGGCUUUACGACCCCCGCCAGUGGGUAAUAGUAACUGGAAGAUGACCCUGCAGUGGUAAAGGCCUUGCCGUGGGAAUAAGAGCGGCCAUAGCUACACUACCAUCUGAGAGUAUGAAUUUCAAAGUAUGGAAUAAUGGCAAAAGUUUUAUGAUGCAUAAAUGGCAAAAGUUUUAUGAUGCAUAAAUGGCAAAAAUUUUAUGAUGCAUAAAUGGCAAAAGUUUUAUGAUGCAUAAUCAUAUUUAUGAAGUUGCA